CUGACACAGGUGCUGCAUGGCUGUCGUCAGCUUCGUGUCGUGAGAUGUUGGGUUAAGUCCCGUAACGAGCGCAACCCUUGUCCUUAGUUACCAGCACGUUAUGGUGGGCACUCUAAGGAGACUGCCGGUGACAAACCGGAGGAAGUGGGGAUGACGUCAAGUCAUCAUGGCCCUUACGGCCUGGGCUACACACGUGCUACAAUGGUCGGUACAAAGGGUUGCCAAGCCGCGAGGUGGAGCUAAUCCCAUAAAACCGAUCGUAGUCCGGAUCGCAGUCUGCAACUCGACUGCGUGAAGUCGGAAUCGCUAGUAAUCGUGAAUCAGAAUGUCACGGUGAAUACGUUCCCGGGCCUU
rnacentral:rRNA from 1 species